CCUUCGGGUGGCAGCAGUGAGGAAUAUUGGUCAAUGGGCGCGAGCCUGAACCAGUCAAGUCGCGUGAGGGAAGACGGUCCUAUGGAUUGUAAACCUCUUUUGUCGGGGAGCAAAAGACGCCACGCGUGGCGUUCCGAGAGUACCCGAAGAAAAAGCAUCGGCUAACUCCGUGCCAGCAGCCGCGGUAAUACGGAGGAUGCGAGCGUUAUCCGGAUUUAUUGGGUUUAAAGGGUGCGUAGGCGGGUUGUUAAGUCAGUUGUGAAAGUUUGCGGCUCAACCGUAAAAUUGCAGUUGAUACUGGCAUCCUUGAGUACAGUAGAGGUAGGCGGAAUUCGUGGUGUAGCGGUGAAAUGCUUAGAUAUCACGAAGAACUCCGAUUGCGAAGGCAGCCUGCUGGACUGUAACUGACGCUGAUGCUCGAAAGUGUGGGUAUCAAACAGGAUUAGAUACCCUAGUAGUC
rnacentral:rRNA from 1 species